rnacentral:rRNA from 1 species
GACAGAGGGUGCAAACGUUGCUCGGAAUCACUGGGCGUAAAGGGCGUGUAGGCGGGACAGUAAGUCGGGCGUGAAAUCCCUGGGCUCAACCCAGGAACUGCACUCGAAACUACUAUUCUUGAGUGUCGGAGAGGAAAGCGGAAUUCCUGGUGUAGAGGUGAAAUUCGUAGAUAUCAGGAGGAACACCAGUGGCGAAGGCGGCUUUCUGGACGAUAACUGACGCUGAGA